AGAUUGAACGCUGGCGGCAGGCCUAACACAUGCAAGUCGAGCGGCAGCACGGGUACUUGUACCUGGUGGCGAGCGGCGGACGGGUGAGUAAUGCCUAGGAAUCUGCCUGGUAGUGGGGGAUAACGCUCGGAAACGGACGCUAAUACCGCAUACGUCCUACGGGAGAAAGCAGGGGACCUUCGGGCCUUGCGCUAUCAGAUGAGCCUAGGUCGGAUUAGCUAGUUGGUGAGGUAAUGGCUCACCAAGGCGACGAUCCGUAACUGGUCUGAGAGGAUGAUCAGUCACACUGGAACUGAGACACGGUCCAGACUCCGUACGGGAGGCAGCAGGUGGGGAAUAGUUGGACAAGUGGGACGAAAGCCUAGAUCCAGCCAUGCCGCGUGUGUGAAGAGGUCUUCGGAUUAGUAAA
rnacentral:rRNA from 1 species